UUGUAGCUGUGCCUGAAGGAACUCUCAUCCC
rnacentral:piRNA from 1 species